CUACACCCGAGGCACCCCUUUCUGUCACCUCCAAAAUAAAUUAUUCAAAAGUUGAUGCAAACAUAAAUCAAUGCCUGUGCAUUAAUACGUCCAUAAAAAAAUCCGGGACAGUGAAAUCGUCCUCCUUUAGUGGAACUGGGUACACGUUGUUUUCAGGAAGCAAACAUAAAGAGCACAGAGGGACAUGAUGAAAAAUUUAGCAGCCAGCAUUAUUCGGCUCACUUUCAAAUGGAACAAUUGCCGCGAACUCUACGAAAAAGGGGUUUAUUGAGUACACAGAGUCAAAUUACGGACGAUGAUUAAUUUGGUGCGUGCUCAAAUGGGCAAGAGAAAUAUGUCAUGGGAAAGUUACGAAUGAAAAAAAAAAAUAAAAUCAAGGAAGCUUGAAACAAUUUAUGAAAACAGGCUGGAAAAAGGGAAAAAUUCGAUUCCGGGAAUGGUUGCUUGAAAACAAAAAUAUUGCCAAUAGUAUCAACCCUAAAAUUUAUGAUGCAAUUCUGAAGAUUUAUGAUUGCUAUUCAUUUCGGUGAAGUGAAUUUCAAGGAUUGAUUUUUAUGGUUUUUUUUAUUUUUGGAACUUUUACAUAGUUUUCGUUAAAUUGUCGGAAUAUAUUGUUCAUUUAUUUUGAAAUUUUCGAUUCUAGAUUAUAAUUUUAUUGUUAAUUAUUAUUGUAUU